UAGGGAAUCUUCGGCAAUGGGGGGAACCCUGACCGAGCAACGCCGCGUGAGUGAAGAAGGUUUUCGGAUCGUAAAGCUCUGUUGUUAAGGAAGAACGAGUGUGAGAAUGGAAAGUUCAUACUGUGACGGUACUUAACCAGAAAGGGACGGCUAACUACGUGCCAGCAGCCGCGGUAAUACGUAGGUCCCGAGCGUUGUCCGGAUUUAUUGGGCGUAAAGCGAGCGCAGGCGGUUAGAAAAGUCUGAAGUGAAAGGCAGUGGCUCAACCAUUGUAGGCUUUGGAAACUGUUUAACGUGAGUGCAGAAGGGGAGAGUGGAAUUCCAUGUGUAGCGGUGAAAUGCGUAGAUAUAUGGAGGAACACCGGUGGCGAAAGCGGCUCUCUGGUCUGUAACUGACGCUGAGGCUCGAAAGCGUGGGGAGCGAACAGG
rnacentral:rRNA from 1 species